GACAGAGGUGCCAAGCGUUAGGCGGAAUCACUGGGCUUAAAGCGUGUGUAGGCGGCUGCCUAAGUACCUUGUGAAAUCCCACGGCUCAACCGUGGAACUGCUGGGUAUACUGGGUGUCUUGGGUCAGCUAGGGGUUGCCGGAACAAAUGGUGGAGCGGUGAAAUGCGUAGAGAUGUGGAGGAGCACCGGUGGCGAAGGCGGCGUCCUGGACCAAUACUGACACUGAAACGCGAAAGCCAGGGGAGCAAACGGG
rnacentral:rRNA from 1 species